GGCGAGUCGUCUCCCGAUCAGGCACUAUCAUCCCGGCCUGAUAGGGCAAUAAGUUUUGGGUCAGAUAAGACUCAUCUGCCACGGGCCAACUAGCAGUACAUAGAGGGGAGAAGGAAGAACGUAGCUCAAAAUCAUGGGUGAUAUAUUCAAGUUCUUUACCUACCUCAUUUACCGGCAUCAUGCCUUUGGAAUAUUUCUUCAUCCCCUCUUGAUAUGCCAGGAAUAACUCAUUCUCCUCUGGCGUCUGCGACGAGUCCCACGACGCCCCCUUUCAACCCGUC
rnacentral:sRNA from 2 species